rnacentral:rRNA from 1 species
GUAGGGAAUAUUGGGCAAUGGUCGGAAGACUGACCCAGCCAUGCCGCGUGCAGGAAGACGGCCCUCUGGGUUGUAAACUGCUUUUAUCUGGGAAGAAAAAGGCCAUGCGUGGCAAAUUGCCGGUACCAGAUGAAUAAGCACCGACUAACUCCGUGCCAGCAGCCGCGGUAAUACGGAGGGUGCGAGCGUUGUCCGGAUUUAUUGGGUUUAAAGGGUGCGUAGGCGGCUGAUUAAGUCAGCGGUGAAAGACUUCGGCUUAACCGGAGCAGUGCCGUUGAUACUGGUUGGCUUGAGUGUCGGAGGGGUACAUGGAAUUGAUGGUGUAGCGGUGAAAUGCAUAGAUACCAUCAGGAACACCGAUAGCGAAGGCAUUGUACUGGCCGACAACUGACGCUGAUGCACGAAAGUGUGGGGAUCGAACAGGAUUAGAAACCCGAGUAGUCC